rnacentral:rRNA from 1 species
AGAGUUUGAUCAGUGGCUCAGGACGAACGCUGGCGGCGUGCUUAACACAUGCAAGUCGAACGGAAAGGCCCAGCUUGCUGGGUACUCGAGUGGCGAACGGGUGAGUAACACGUGGGUGAUCUGCCCCAAACUUCGGGAUAAGCCUGGGAAACUGGGUCUAAUACCGGAUAUGACCUGCUCCUGCAUGGGGGUUGGUGGAAAGCUUUUGCGGUUUGGGAUGGGCCCGCGGCCUAUCAGCUUGUUGGUGGGGUAAUGGCCUACCAAGGCGACGACGGGUAGCCGACCUGAGAGGGUGAUCGGCCACACUGGGACUGAGACACGGCCCAGACUCCUACGGGAGGCAGCAGUGGGGAAUAUUGCACAAUGGGCGCAAGCCUGAUGCAGCGACGCCGCGUGAGGGAUGACGGCCUUCGGGUUGUAAACCUCUUUCGCCAGGGACGAAGCGCAAGUGACGGUACCUGGAGAAGAAGCACCGGCCAACUACGUG